UCAGGGACCCCUCGCGCGGCGUCAUCCUGUGAACCUCCCCAGGGCCGGAAGGCAGCAAGGAUAAGCGGGCUCUGGCGGGUGUGCGGGGGGUCUCUUCGUU
rnacentral:SRP_RNA from 1 species